rnacentral:rRNA from 1 species
AACGAACGCUGGCGGCAUGCCUAACACAUGCAAGUCGAACGAGACCUUCGGGUCUAGUGGCGCACGGGUGCGUAACGCGUGGGAACCUGCCUUUAGGUUCGGAAUAACUCAGAGAAAUUUGAGCUAAUACCGGAUGAUGUCUUCGGACCAAAGAUUUAUCGCCUUUAGAUGGGCCCGCGUAAGAUUAGCUAGUUGGUGGGGUAAAGGCCUACCAAGGCGACGAUCUUUAGCUGGUCUGAGAGGAUGAUCAGCCACACUGGGACUGAGACACGGCCCAGACUCCUACGGGAGGCAGCAGUGGGGAAUAUUGGACAAUGGGCGAAAGCCUGAUCCAGCAAUGCCGCGUGAGUGAUG